GGUCUCCAUCCUGCAGGCAACCAUGCAGCUGCUUUGGUCCCUCCUCUGCCUUCUGGCAGCUCCCCUGGGUGUCCUAUCUCAACUUACACUUCAGGAGUCAGGCCCAGGACUGGUGAUGCCCUCACAGACACUCUCUCUCACAUGUGUUGUCUCCGGGGGCUCUGUCACCAGCAGUUACUAUUGGAACUGGAUCCGCCAGCGCCCUGGGAGAGCACUGGAGUGGAUGGGCUACUGGACAGGUAGUACAAGCUAUAACCCGGCUUUCCAGGGCCGCAUCUCCAUCACUGCUGACACAUCCAAGAACCAGUUCUCCCUGCAGCUGAGUUCUGUGACUACCGAGGACACAGCCGUGUAUUACUGUGCUAGAGGCACACUGAGGAGACAUCAGUGUGAGCCCAGACACAAACCUCCCUGCAGGGACACAGGAGGGGCGGGGCUGCAGGUGGCCCCAGAAUCCACCAGGGGGUGUUCAGGACACCAAGGAGCUCUCAGAUCACCAGGGGAAACUCAGAUCACUUUCUGGAGCUCAAGAGACAAGGAGCGCUCAGGACAGAAGUGGUACUCAGGUCACCAUGGGGCGCUCAAGACCCACCAAUACAUUUUCUGCACCAGAAGCAGGUGCAGGUGGAGAUUAAAUGCGUAUUUCCUGGCACAGUUUGGGGUUUCCUUUCCAUAA